GAUGAACGCUAGCGGCAGGCUUAAUACAUGCAAGUCGAGGGCUCAGCAAUGGGACCGGCGCACGGGUGCGUAACACGUAUGCAACCUGCCUGUAUCUGGGGGAUAGCCCGAGGAAACUCGGAUUAAUACCGCAUACCACUGAGGGUCGGCAUCGAUUUUCAGUGAAAGAUUUAUCGGAUACAGAUGGGCAUGCGCAGGAUUAGCUAGUUGGUGUGGUAACGGCACACCAAGGCGACGAUCCUUAGGGGCUCUGAGAGGAGUAACCCCCACACUGGCACUGAGAUACGGGCCAGACUCCUACGGGAGGCAGCAGUAGGGAAUAUUGGGCAAUGGAGGCAACUCUGACCCAGCCAUGCCGCGUGCAGGAAGACGGCCCUCUGGGUUGUAAAACUGCCUUUUAAGUAGGAGGAAAGUGCAGCUUGCGAGCUGUUUUGACGUUACACUAGAAUAAGCCACGGCUAACUACGUGCCAGCAGCCGACGG
rnacentral:rRNA from 1 species